UAAGCAUAUCAAUAAGCGGAGGAAAAGAAACCAACAGGGAUUGCCCUAGUAACGGCGAGUGAAGCGGCAACAGCUCAAAUUUGAAAUCUGGCUUUCGGGCCCGAGUUGUAAUUUGUAGAGGAUGAUUUUGAUGCGGUGCCUUCCGAGUUCCCUGGAACGGGACGCCAUAGAGGGUGAGAGCCCCGUCUGGUUGGAUGCCAAAUCUCUGUAAAUCUCCUUCGACGAGUCGAGUAGUUUGGGAAUGCUGCUCUAAAUGGGAGGUAUAUGUCUUCUAAAGCUAAAUACCGGCCAGAGACCGAUAGCGCACAAGUAGAGUGAUCGAAAGAUGAAAAGCACUUUGAAAAGAGAGUUAAAAAGUACGUGAAAUUGUUGAAAGGGAAGCGUUUAUGACCAGACUUGGGCUUGGUUAAUCAUCUGGGGUUCUCUCCAGUGCACUUUUCCAGUCCAGGCCAGCAUCAGUUUUCGCCGGGGGAUAAAGGCUUCGGGAAUGUGGCUCCCCUCGGGGAGUGUUAUAGCCCGUUGUGUAAUACCCUGGUGGGGACUGAGGUUCGCGCUUCUGCAAGGAUGCUGGCGUAAUGGUCAUCAACGACCCGUCUUGAAACACGGACCAAGGAGUCGUCUUCGUAUGCGAGUGUUCGGGUGUCAAACCCCUACGCGUAAUGAAAGUGAACGCAGGUGAGAGCUUCGGCGCAUCAUCGACCGAUCCUGAUGUUCUCGGAUGGAUUUGAGUAAGAGCAUACGGGGCCGGACCCGAAAGAAGGUGAACUAUGCCUGUGUAGGGUGAAGCCAGAGGAAACUCUGGUGGAGGCUCGCAGCGGUUCUGACGUGCAAAUCGAUCGUCAAACAUGGGCAUGGGGGCGAAAGACUAAUCGAACCUUCUAGUAGCUGGUUUCCGCCGAAG
rnacentral:rRNA from 1 species